GUUGCUGUGGUGUAGUUGUUAUCACGUCAGUCUUACACACUGAAGGUCUCCAGUUCGAUCCUGGGCAGCAACA
rnacentral:tRNA from 1 species